rnacentral:tRNA from 1 species
GUGGGUAGAGCUCAGUGGUAGAGCACGUGCUUAGCACGCACACGGUCCUGGGUUCAAUCCCCAAUACCUCUA